AUCCAAUCAGCUGGAGGCCUGCAUAGAACAAAAACACAGGUCUUCCUGAGCAAGAGGGGCUUCUCCAGCAUAUGGCCUUUGGACUUCAUCUAUACCAUCCGCACUUCUGGGUCUCCAGCCUGCUGGCCCACACUACAGAUUUUGGACUUCCCAGCUUCCAUAAUCAUUGACUCAGAGAUGAUUUCCUCUUCAGAAAACAGAAGAAUUUUCUGACACAUUUAUCCAGAUUGGAUGAUAUGGAGAUGAACACCAGGACUAUUUUAGAAACUGCAUGUUGAAGACCACUGAGAUAUAAAACUUAGAAAAAAAAAGGUUCUGAAUCAAUGCCUUGUGAAGACAGUUGCACAGGGUACCACCAGGCUGAAAUCCAGGUGUUCACCAGGACUUUUCUUCACCUGGAGGCCCAGCUGGAGAAGAAUCUGCUUCCAAGCUCCAUCAGACUGUUAGAAAAUUAACUUCCUGUGGCUAUAGGAUUCAUGGCACGUUGCUUCUUCAAAGCCAGCAAUGGAAAGAGUCUUCUGCUCCAAGAAUGACAUGUAGUCACUCAGAAAGGGAUCAUAUGACUAGGUAAUGUCCACCCAGAAUAAUAUCGCUUUUGAUUAAGUUAAAGUCAAUCGAUUAGAGGCUUGAAUUGCAUCUGAAAAAUGUAUUUUCUUUACCGUACAACAUAAAUUAGAGUUCAGUAUGGAUUAGCAAGAGGAAUCUGCAUUUUCAAAGAUGUUUGGAAACCAGUCUUUCUCUAUCUUUGUCUCCACCUACAUUUAAGUUCUUUGAAGUCUUUCCACACAGCUACAAAUAGAAAAAGAGAAUUACAAAUUAUCUAUGGGAGAUUUGUUAUUUAAUGGGUCAGUUCUAAGCAUUAAGCAAGUUAAUCCUACUCACAUUUCACUGGCUGGAUGUCACCUCUGUGUAGUUGCAGGGAAGUUGUAAAAUGUAGUCUAGCUGUGUGCCCAAAAAGAGAAAAAGGUGGACAGUGUUCUCAGUUCUCAGUCCACCCUUCUGAUCACUGCCAAAGCAUCUGUUUCCCUUGUCUCGCCCACAGCAAAACUCUCAUACCUUUCCCAAGAGAAUCAAGCUGGAUAUUUCACAUCCCAAUGCAUCCUGUUCAAAAUCUAAUAUGGAGCAUCUCCAAGAGGUGCUCAGCUUUUCCAUCAGAUCUGGAUAGGUCUUCCUAUCAUUCAAUAAUUUAUUUUAAAGAAAAAGAAAUUGUCUAUCCUCCAAUCUUCCUCAAUUUUGAAGAAAUUCUAAAUCAGAAAGUGAAUGAAUGAGAAACCACAGAAGAAACUGGUCUGCAGCAAUUUGGAUGUCCCACUGAACAGGCUUUAUGAAGGUCAUCCACCCUGAGAAAGCAGGUGCAUUUCCUAAUUAAAUCCUGUUUCUGCUCUUUGGAAGAAACAUCGUUGUCCCUUGUUCUUUAUGGAUAUUUGCUCUAUCCUCUGGGAGUAUUUUCUUGUCCAUUUUCCAGGGUGCAUAUUUCAGAUCUGACAGGUUUCUGUAAAUCUGUAAAGUCCAUUUCUGCUGGUAUACAUAUGGAGUCUUGAAGGCUAUUUUAUUUUUAUUUUUGAGAUGGAGUCUUGCUCUGUCACUCAGGCUGGAGUGCAGUGGCAUGAUCUUGGCUCACUGCAACCUCCGCCUCCAAGAUUCAAAUGAUUCUCUUGCCUCAGCCUCCCAAGUAGCUGGGAUUACAGGCAUCCACCACCAUGCCAAGCUAAUUUUUGUAAUUUUAGUAGAGACAGAGUUUCUCCAUGUUGGCCAGGCUGGUCUCAAACUCCUGGCCUCAGGUGAUCCACCCACUUGGACUCCCAAGGCGCUGGGAUUACAGGUAGGAGCCACUACUCCUGGCCUUGAGAGCUGUUUUAAAUAUCAAAAAUGAUGGUUUCCAGUUUCAUCCAUGUCGCUGCAAAGGACGUAAACUCAUCCUUUAUUAUAGCUGCAUAGUAUUCCAUGAUGUAUAUGUGCCACAUUUUCUUUAUCCAGUCUAUCAUUGAUGGGCAUUUGGGUUGGUUCCAAGUCUGGAAACCUCAUUCUCAGCAAGCUAACACAGGAACAGAAAACCAAACACUGAAUGCUCUCACUCAUAAGUAGAAGUUGAACAAUGAGGACACAUGGACACAGGGCAGGGAACAUCACACACCAGGGCCUGUCGGGGUGUGGUAGGUUAGGGAAGGGAUAGCACUGGGAGAUGAUGGGUUGAUGGGUGCAGCAAACCACCAUGGCUCGCGUAUACCUAUGUAACUAACCUGCACGUUCUGCACAUGUAUCCCAGAACUUAAAGUAUAAUAAAUAAGCAAACAUCAAAGAAUCAAGGGCUGUUUGGUAGUAUUUUUACAAUAUGAUUUAUCCCCAAAGUAAGAGGGUUAUAAUCUACUUGUUCCUUCCUUCCCCAUGCCUCUUACUUUCCACUUAAUGGGUUGACAUUCUGAGGCACAUUGCAUAAGCCUUCUCAGAAGGUCUUGUUUUGAUUGGCACCUGUCACACACAGCAGUGGCCUCUGUCAUUAUAUAUCUUAGGUUGGAACUUUCUGCUUGCCUGCAUUGUUUUCCUAGUCUUUCAUUCUUACUCAAAUAAGACACCCAAACAUAAAACUGUCUCAGGCUCUGCUUUCAAGACAACUAAGCUGAGACACUACUUUUUGCAAAAAUGCUAAAUCUUCAAGGAUCUUUGUCAAUCCAAGGCUUUUUCAAUCUUACUUCCUAUUUUGAGGUCUCAGAAGUGGUGAUUUUACCAACCCUUUAAGGUCCCAAAUGUCUGAACUGCCGCUUGUCUCUUUCUUUUUCUACUUAUAAAGUAGCCAGUUAUUGACUAACAUCAUCAUUUUCUUUUAAUACUUUCCUAAGAUCAGCCAAUAUAAAGCAACACACAUCGUCACCCCAACUCCUCCUGGUCACUCCUUUAGAGCUAUAUUCUCAGUCAACUCAUGUAGUGCUCCCAAAUUAAGUCAAGCAACAGUUUUAAUUGAAACUUUUAUUAAGAUAAUUGUAAAUUCACAUACAAUUACAAUAAAUACUACAUAGAUAUAAUUUCUAUGCUUCUCUCAGUUUCCUCCAAUAGCAAUAUUUUGCAAAACUAUAUUAAAUAUUGCAACAAGGACUUUGAGAUUUAUACAGUCCACUGAUUCAAAUCGCCCCAGUUUUACUCUAUGCAUAUAUGUGUAUAUCAAGUUCUCUAUAAUUUUAUCACUCUUGUAGGCUCAUGUAUCUACCACCACAGUCAAGAUACUAAGAAGUCCCAACACCGCAAAGAUCCUUAUUUUGCCUUUUUACAGCUAUCCCCAUAAUUAUACUUUUUCCACCCUGCCCAGCUCUGUCACUAACUCCUAACCACUAAUCUGUUCUCCAUUUUUAACAUUUUAUCAUUUCAAAAUGCUGUAUACAUUUAAUAAUACAGAAUUUAACCUUUAGGAAUUUACUCUUCAUGGAGCAUAAUUCUCUGCAGAUUCACCCAAGUUGUUGUUUAUUCAUCCUUAUUGCUGCAUAGUAUUCCAUGCUACCUACGUACUAGAGAUUGUUAACCAUUCCACUGUUGAGGGACAUUCAGACUCAUUCAUAUUUCUGGCUAUUACAAAUAAGGCUAAUAUGAAUACUCAUGUACAGGUUUUUGUAUGAAAAUAAGUUUUCAUUCCUUUGGGAGAAAUGCCCAAGUAUGUAACUGUCUGGUCAUAUGGUAAAUUUAUGUGUAGUUUUAUAUGGAACUGUCAAACUGUUUUUCAGUGGGUAUAUUAAUAAACAUUCCCA
rnacentral:lncRNA from 1 species